CCAAAACACAAGGGAAAAACAGAAUCACAAGAAAGAAAGGGGUAAUAAACAGGACACUCACCGUCAGCCUGGGCUGCCACCACAACAGUUUGCUAUCCAGCAUUUAUCUAUUCAGGUGUGGACAGUCACUGAUGUCCUCUCUGCUGAGAAAAAAGCUGCAUGUGGCCCAGCCUCUCUGGGUUGGGGGAGAUCAGAGUCAUUGGGUGUAUGUUCAUGGGCUGAUUCCAUCCACGUGUCAUCAAAACAUUGUGCAUGAAUUUCACAAAGAUUGUGCAAAAUGCAUCACGCUGUUACAACAUGUGGAACUCGCAAGAUUUGAACAUCCAUUCUUUUCAGAAGACAUCUCCAUCGUCCUUUGAGUCGACCAAAAGCACACUCUCGGCUUGGCUGUGGUGGUAGUUGAAGUAUCCUGAUCGUUAGUUAGGUGGCCAUUGUCAGGAUAAGGCUUCAUGAGCCAGCUCAGAAGGGGGUAUGCUGUCUCCUAGAAGCAUGACAGAGACUGAUGUGCCAUGAAUGUCACGGGUGAUAUCAUUAAAGGGAAGGGUGGAUGAAAGGAAGGACAGAUAGCAGAUGAAUGGGUGGAAGGAUGAGAAAAGACAAACAUAACACACACCAGUGAACAUGCCUCCUCCUUCAAGAUGGAUCUGAACAUACUGUGACAGACUGCCAGAGGCGCUGGGUGAGAGGACAGAUCAUAACAGACUUCACACAAACCCUGAAACCUGCUCAGAUAUAAGACAAGACCUUCACCAUGUCUACACUGGCUUUGUGGCGAAAGCUGCAAGUCGGCAGCACUGUACAAAAAGGUUAGAUUAAGAAUUUGUCAGUGUCUACACAAGAUACAUUCCAGCACAGAAGUGUUGUGAAGGUCACCUUCUUUUGGAUCAACAUCACUGCACUGGACUUUAAACUGCAUGUGUUAAUAACUUGCACUUUACCACAUUUAUUUACAAUAUAUAUUAAUAUAUUUUGUUGUGAAGUACUGUAUUAUUAUUAUUUCUAUUGUUUGUUGUACUUUUCUUAUAUUUCCCCCUGUAAUGCAAUGACCUGUCAGGGAGUACAGAUCAACUAGCCUUCUGGCUAAAUCUAUAAAUAAAUAAAUUUUAGUUACAUGUGUAAAAGAAAAUAGACACCUAAAAAGAUGCUAUAGGUUGCAGUUAUAAGCAUAAUGCAUGAGUGAAACAAGUCAUUAUGUGUCCUGUGUAGACAGAUGUAUUUAUUAAAAUACAAUAAAUCUCUUUUGGCAAACAAGGUGAGACGGAUGAAAAACAAGACUGAAAUGCUUCCUGUAUAGACUGUAAAGCAACCAAGUAGUAAAUAUGGCAAAGAAAAUUUGAAGUCAUACUGAAUUUAGCUACAAUCAGUUCCUGUUUGUACUGUGGCCAUGUACAGACAACAAUCCGCUAAAUUACUUUUGAUUGUAAGUUAUUAAGAGCAAAUUGUUUUACAUGAUUUCUUGAUGGAUAUGUUGACAAUUGUAUCACAUAUCACUAAAAGAGUGACGCCCAGAGAUUCCAGAAGUAUACUGGUCUGAAAAGGGGAUGUGAUUUUCAAAUAGAGUGCCAGGGGUUAUAGCCGAAAGUCAGCAAUUUCAGCUUGCUUCAGUUAAAUUCCUGUGUGCUGCAGUACAUAACUAAUACAAUGAAAAAUGAGUCACAGUCUAAUUACUACUCUAUACUAUGUGUUUGUGCAGCAUGUUUGUAGUAUGUGUAUUCACUCAUCCAUCUGAACUUGUGCCUGCUAUCAUGUUUGCUUGUGUUGUAUUUCAGCUUCCUUUGUAAUCCUUCAAAGCCAUUUCAGUCCUGGCCGCUAAAGCCAAAUGUGAUGUGACACUUUAAUAAUCACGCAAAGAGCGCAGCGUAGGUGUGCCAAAAGGAUUAAUGUUACACCAAAUAUGUCAAUACACACAGCUGGGAUGAGUUACAGAAAGGAAUGCACUGAGUGGGAAGCUAAUUGUAAAUGUGUAUGCUUGUGUGAGUGUGUGGCGCGGUUUACAGGGUUUAGAAAUGGCUGAGCCAGAGAAGUAAUCGCACAAGAGGUUCAGAUUAUGCUGGCAUGUGUACAGUCUUUAUGGUAGAGGCAAUGCAUAUAAUAUCAACUCUUUAAAGCUAAGCUGAAAUCUUCCUGAGGGCUUAAUGGCACUUGUAGACGCCCACCUAUGCAGAUUAGAGAACACGAAAUGUACAGCAUUUUAAUAAGACCAUAACUAUGAUCUAAGCUAUGCAUCUGUGCGUGGAUAUAAACAAAUUAUGUUAACUUGUUCACUUAAGUUCCAGAGCAGGACCAUGCCUCAUCCCCACAUCUAAUCACCUGUCAAGCCUACUUAUACUGGGUAAACCCAUUCUGUCCUGUUUGCCUUAGUUUUUUCAUCCAUUUGCCACCAUACCCCAUCCCUCCUUCUGUCCAUCCCUAUUAGCAUGUGAACACCCUCCCCUCGUUUCAUCCACUCUUAUUCAAUCAUGUGUCUCUCUAUUC